UGCACGCCAACACAAAAACCAGAUAUCAACACUCCUAUAUCGAGUUUAACAAUCAAAUAUAAAAGAUAAGAAAAGACUUAAUCCAACCAAAACCAAUUUGUCUGCCAUAUUUCUCAGCAGCCAAACCGAAUCUAGCAAUAUUUGAGCGAAAUAACACAGGAAAAACGAGAACGAUGCGUUAACUAAGAUAUAGAGAAACGAAGGAAACAAUAAGGGUAGAUCUGCAAAUGGCAAUGAACUUACCCUGUAGGCGACCAUUUUCUUCUUCGAGGAACUAGCAGAAGAUAUCGGCAGCCCCCUCUCAAACCUUCCCUU
rnacentral:lncRNA from 1 species